rnacentral:rRNA from 1 species
CCUACGGGAGGCAGCAGUGGGGAAUAUUGCACAAUGGGGGAAACCCUGAUGCAGCGACGCCGCGUGAGUGAAGAAGUAUCUCGGUAUGUAAAGCUCUAUCAGCAGGGAAGAAAAUGACGGUACCUGAUCAAGAAGCCCCGGCUAACUACGUGCCAGCAGCCGCGGUAAUACGGAGGGGGCCAGCGUUAUCCGGAUUUACUGGGUGUAAAGGGAGCGUAGACGGCAGCACAAGUCUGGAGUGAAAUGCCGGGGCUUAACCCCGGAACUGCGUUGGAAACUGUGCAGCUAGAGUGCAGGAGAGGUAAGUGGAAUUCGUAGUGUAGCGGUGAAAUGCGUAGAUAUUAGGAAGAACACCAGUGGCGAAGGCGGCUUACUGGACUGUAACUGACGUUGAGGCUCGAAAGCGUGGGGAGCAAACAGGAUUAGAUACCCUGGUAGUC